rfam:Thalassobium sp. R2A62 genomic scaffold scf_1112329232034, whole genome shotgun sequence.
ACACUGGCGUUUUUCAACGCCAUCCAAGUCAGUAAAGCUAAUGUGU